GCAAGUCGAGCGCACCUUCGGGUGAGCGGCGGACGGGUUAGUAACGCGUGGGAACGUGCCCUUUUCUGCGGAAUAGCCACUGGAAACGGUGAGUAAUACCGCAUACGCCCUUCGGGGGAAAGAUUUAUCGGAGAAGGAUCGGCCCGCGUUAGAUUAGGUAGUUGGUGGGGUAAUGGCCUACCAAGCCUACGAUCUAUAGCUGGUUUAAGAGGAUGAUCAGCAACACUGGGACUGAGACACGGCCCAGACUCCUACGGGAGGCAGCAGUGGGGAAUCUUAGACAAUGGGGGCAACCCUGAUCUAGCCAUGCCGCGUGAGUGAUGAAGGCCUUAGGGUCGUAAAGCUCUUUCGCCAGGGAUGAUAAUGACAGUACCUGGUAAAGAAACCCCGGCUAACUCCGUGCCAGCAGCCGCGGUAAU
rnacentral:rRNA from 1 species